rnacentral:rRNA from 1 species
GACGAACGCUGGCGGCGUGCUUAACACAUGCAAGUCGAACGGACAGACAGAGAGCUUGCUCUCUUGAAGUUAGUGGCGAACGGGUGAGUAACGCGUAAUCAACCUGCCCUUCAGAGGGGGAUAACAACGGGAAACCGUUGCUAAUACCGCGUACGAUUCAUGAACGGCAUCGUUUAUGAAUGAAAGGUGGCCUCUAUGUAUAAGCUAUCGCUGAAGGAGGGGAUUGCGUCUGAUUAGCUAGUUGGAGGGGUAACGGCCCACCAAGGCAAUGAUAAAUAGCCGGUCUGAGAGGAUGACCGGCCACAUUGGGACUGAGACACGGCCCAAACUCCUACGGGAGGCAGCAGUGGGGAAUCUUCCGCAAUGGACGAAAGUCUGACGGAGCAACGCCGCGUGAGUGAUGAAGGUCUUCGGAUUGUAAAGCUCUGUUAAUCGGGACGAAAGAGUUCUGCGUGAAUAAUGCAGAAAAGUGACGGUACCGGAAUAGAAAGCCACGGCUAACUACGUGCCAGCCGCCGCCGUAA